UAUGAUAGUUUUCUUUUUCUUUUUUAAUACUUCACAAUUUUUUUUUAAAAUAAUAAUAAUAAUAAUAAAACAUAGUUUCGAGAAACAUAGACAAACAUGCAGAGACUAAAUUCCCGAUCCUCCAAUUGAUCGAUAGACCAUCAAGCAUGACCGAUAGCUCAUCAGGCAUUCUUUCUUGAUCUCAAAUAUGUUGGUUGGUUUGGGAAAAUUAUUGGUCAAUGUCACUAUCUGUGAUAAAAAAGUAUUAAGUACAAUAAAUAUACUUGAAAGCUUCUCCUCAACAAAUAUGACGGUCCCCUCAGGCUCAUCAUUGCUCUUUACAGUAAUCUUUUCAGUAUUAGAAGACAAUCAUUAAUUCUAUAAUUAAAUUAUGUCCACUUUUUAAUCAUCCCAGAUCAGUUUUGAAAGAAUGAAUUAAAAGUAAAAAUAGAGGAGAAAAAAAGUUGAUAGUGGCGCACAGACACAGUUUUGGAUGAUAUUGGAAGGUGGAGAACACUUGAAAGAGCCAUAUAGCACAGUGUUCUUAUUACCGUAGAAGAUCGUUCAAGGGUAACUUCGGGGUUGUUGCAGUGAUAAUUUGGGAUCACGGGUUCAGUGGUGGAGGCUUUUUCGGUUGAAAGGAUGGUGAUGUCUUCCUUUGAAGCAGAACUGGUGGCAAUCCAGCAGGGGUGCUGCAGAAUUCUACAGCAAGGUUGGUCGAAUGUCUCUAUUUUCUCGGAUUGCAAAUGGCGGUGAAGGGUCUGCUGGCUGGUAAGUCGCCUGUGUGGUUGGCUCGGGGACUGUUUGAUGCCACUCUCAACAACCUUUCUAAGAUUUAUGAGGUGCGGCUAUGUUGUUAGCCUAAUUCUAGUGCUCAUAAUUAAUUUAGGAGCUUGGGCUGCUUAUAAUGGUAGUUUUAAGAUGUUUUCUGGUAUGUAUGGAAGUGGCACCCUUUGUUGCCACUGUUAACUUUCGUCUGUAGGGCCUUGUUUUGUUUUCAAUAAAAAUUGGCUAGGAUCUAUUAAUCAAUAAAUUGGCUCCUUCUCGAAACUUUA